ensembl:lncRNA
UACUUGUCUUCUAACAUUAUCUUUAAGUUCCUGGAAGGCAGAAAGUGUGUGCUACCCUGCUUGAAUGUCCCACAACGCCUAGCAAAGGACAAUGUAAACGGCAGGCCCUGAAAAAAUCAGAGAAAGGACAUGACAUCGUUCAGUCGUUUGUUAAUAACAUAACUAAUAAUAUGACUUGCUAUUAUUAAGCUUGUCAUAGGCUGCAGAGAACAAGACAGACACGGGAAUUGCGUUCCAAACUGCAAGACUCAGAGAACUCAGCAAGAGUAAGGAAUCCCUCUUGGGAAAGAUACUCUGGUUGUAUGGGAGGUUGGAAGACCCCCAGGUGAAAACCUGGAGGCGGGCGGAACUGUCGGACUGCUGGCAGCCGGGAAGGGUUUCCCCAACGCUCUGGGCUGGCCCAGCGGAAGUAGGGGGAGGCGGGGGGCGGUGCACCGGGCUGCCAGGAGCUUGUCACGCGACGUCCUCUUCUUGUCGCCGACAACAAUCCCAGCCUCCUCUGGAAGUCGCUUUUGCGCCAAAGGACUGAAGUCCUGCGGUGCCUGCGCCCGCGCUUCGCUGUGCGGACCGGGCGGCGCCGGAAAGCGGCGCGGGGAGGGAAGGGCGGCUUCGGAAGCCGGGGAUCCCGCCCGCCUACCGGGCUUUGGGCCACUUUGCAGCCGGCGACGGGCACGCGCAGACCCGUUCUCCCGGCCGAGGUGCCCCCCGUCUGCAGAGCGGGGUUUUCUGAUGGAGAUGGGGCUGUGUGCAGGCGUGUGGGGAGCCCUGGGCGGUGCCUGUCUGAAAAUCGGCUGUUAAAGUGACAAAUCAAAAUGGUCUGAGCUUGUUCAUCUGGAAGAAAAGAAGGCUGGACUAGAGCAGUGGUUCUCAAACUGGUCCCCAGACCAGCAACAUCAGCAUCACUGGGAACUUGUCAGAAAUGUAGAUUAUCAGGCCCCCCUUAGACCUAGUAAAUCAGAAACUCAGUGGUGAGCCCAGCAAUCUGUCUCUUAACAAGCCCUCCACGAGAUUCUGAUUUAUGCUCAAGUUUGAGAACUGCUGGACUAGAUGGUCUGGAGAAUCUCUCGGAAAAAAGAGCGCUCAUACUUCUUAGCUGGCUCAUAAGGUCCUCACUAAUCUGGUGCCCCUCUAACUGCCCAGUCUCUUAAGUCAACAGGCCUCUGCAUCUGCAUAAAACUACAAAAAUGUCCUUACAGAGACUUGCUCUUUGAAACUCUGUGUCUUUACAUGUGCUGUUCCUUCUUCCUGAAAUAACCUUUUUCUUCCACUACCUGUCUGUCUCCUAUCUGUCCUUCAACACUUGUUUGAGUGGUCACCUCUUCUAGGAAGACCUUCUAAUACCUCCCUUCUCAGGUCAGGUGUCUCCCCUCUGUGCUCUUCUAGCACUUUAUAAACGUCUCUGUUAUAUCGUUUGCCACCUUUAUCUGGUGCCCCACCGGACAGAGCUAGGUGUGGCCAGAAACUAUUUUAUUUCUGAACACUCAGGGCCUGCCACAAUGCCAGCCACAUAGUAUGUCCUCAGUAAACGUCAUGGCAUGAGUGAUUGAGUGGAUGACUUGCAUCCUCGUGUCAACUACCUGAAGGCUCAGAUGAUGACUUUUGAUUCUUGUUCAUCAUCUCGUAAUCAUUGAUAGUUAAUGUUUUUCAUAUUAUAAAUCCCAAUGAUUGUCUGAUCAUCAAUGCUAACUACUGUUAGUAAUGCUUUAUAGCAUAUUGCAUAAUCCAAGUUCUGUCAGAUCUGUUAGUCCACUUGAGCCUGUCAGCAAUCUAGUGAACUAGGUUAGAGCAGGUAUUAUUUUCAUGAUUUUAACAGCUGAGAAAACCACUCACAGAUACUAAAUGGCUUUCCUUGAUUAUCUAUUUCUGCUAACAUUAUUUUGUAUGUCCUCUGUGCAAGGCAUUGUGAUAGAAAAUGAGAAAUACAAAAGCUAGUAAGGACAUAAUCCUUGUCCUCCAGAAACCUAUAUUCUAGGAAAAAUUAAAACUUAUCCUCCAAGGGGCCAGCCCUGUGGCAGAGUGGUUGGGUUCCUGUGCUCUGCUUCAGCGGCCCAGGGUUUGCCAGUUCAGAUCUUGGUCGUGGACCUACACACCACUCAUCAGACCAUGCUGUGCCAGCAUCCCAGAUGGAAGAGCUAGAAUGGCCUGCAACUGGGAUAU